rnacentral:rRNA from 1 species
AGCGAACGCUGGCGGCAGGCUUAACACAUGCAAGUCGAGCGGGCAUCUUCGGAUGUCAGCGGCAGACGGGUGAGUAACACGUGGGAACGUACCCUUCGGUUCGGAACAACUCUGGGAAACUGGAGCUAAUACCGGAUACGCCCUUAUGGGGAAAGGUUUACUGCCGAAGGAUCGGCCCGCGUCUGAUUAGCUAGUUGGUGGGGUAACGGCCUACCAAGGCGACGAUCAGUAGCUGGUCUGAGAGGAUGAUCAGCCACACUGGGACUGAGACACGGCCCAGACUCCUACGGGAAGCAGCAGUGGGGAAUAUUGGACAAUGGGCGCAAGCCUGAUCCAGCCAUGCCGCGUGAGUGAUGAAGGCCUUAGGGUUGUAAAGCUCUUUUGUCCGGGACGAUAAUGACGGUACCGGAAGAAUAAGCCCCGGCUAACUUCGUG